AAGACCCUUCACAGACAGGUGUGCCCAUAGAUGUCAAGCCUGGAGAAGAGGUAAUAGUACAGUACUGAGGGGCCUACAGUUAUCAAUACAGACAGGAGCAAGUUCAUCCCAGAGUCGCAAAGGCUCCAAACUGAAGUGAGCUUGAGAAAUUGGAGAUUUAGAAGGAAGUCUGAGAUUAGUACAAUGGAAAUGGGCUUCAAGGCACCUAUCAAACCACAAAGAACCUGAGAAAGAAGAAAUAACUGAAAUAUGAAGGCUGAAUAAACAUUCAGAUUAGAAAUUAUUAGGAAAAGGUACG
rnacentral:lncRNA from 1 species